rnacentral:rRNA from 1 species
AAGGUCUCCGUUGGUGAACCAGCGGAGGGAUCAUUACCGAGUUUACAACUCCCAAACCCAAUGUGAACGUUACCAAACUGUUGCCUCGGCGGGAUCUCUGCCCCGGGUGCGUCGCAGCCCCGGACCAAGGCGCCCGCCGGAGGACCAACCAAAACUCUUAUUGUAUACCCCCUCGCGGGUUUUUUACUAUCUGAGCCAUCUCGGCGCCCCUCGUGGGCGUUUCGAAAAUGAAUCAAAACUUUCAACAACGGAUCUCUUGGUUCUGGCAUCGAUGAAGAACGCAGCGAAAUGCGAUAAGUAAUGUGAAUUGCAGAAUUCAGUGAAUCAUCGAAUCUUUGAACGCACAUUGCGCCCGCCAGUAUUCUGGCGGGCAUGCCUGUCCGAGCGUCAUUUCAACCCUCGAACCCCUCCGGGGGGUCGGCGUUGGGGAUCGGCCCUUUACGGGGCCGGCCCCGAAAUACAGUGGCGGUCUCGCCGCAGCCUCUCCUGCGCAGUAGUUUGCACACUCGCAUCGGGAGCGCGGCGCGUCCACAGCCGUUAAACACCCCAAACUUCUGAAAUGUGACCUCG